UACAAUAAAAGUGACGCCUUGCUGCUUCUAUUUCCUUUUCUGUGAUUCUUCAAUCUUCUCCGUGCCUUCCUUCUGCACAAAAUCACAGGAUGAUACUUAUGAUGGCUAUGCAGGUUAGUGUAUUUCUUAUCACAGAUGGAGACAAUAAACUCGCCCGACUUCUGUUUCAUUCUUAGGUGUUGUGGUUUUAUAGGAGAAUGAUUUGGAAAAUUGGACAUUGGAAUAAGAUUGUGGAUCACUCCUUGCUGCAAUUCAGAAAACACAACGGUGAAUUAUUAUAUCCCAUCUCUCUUACUCACAGCAUUGAACCUAAUACAAACUAAUUGCUGCGCUGGCCAAUUCUAAUCUGCUGUAAACAAAGUAAUCAUCUCACUCAAGUAUUACUGUACAGUAAUCAUGCGUUUAGAGAAUUAAUGAAGCAGUUGCUUUCGUCUAUCAUCCUAUC
rnacentral:lncRNA from 1 species